CUCGUGAUCCGCCCGUCUCGGCCUCCCAAAGUGCUGGGAUUACAGGCUUGAGCCACCGCGCCCGGCCUGGAUUAGUUCUUGGAGAGCGUCUUGCCCUCUCUCUCCCACAUCAGAACAUUAGCCACUGUGGCCACGCUCAGCUCAAACAGGGGAAGCGAACCUGCCUGGCUCCAGACCCUAGCCAGAGCCAAGGCUGUGGGAUGCCAGGUGCCCAGUGCUCUGCCCAGGGCCACACAGCACCAAAGCUGAGUCACAUCACAAUCAUGUCGCACACACACAUCCCCCUCACCGUUCCAUUAUUUCAGAGAGUUGCAUCCUCGCCAGGAACUGAUUGUCCUUGCGGAUUUCUCGAACAGCCCCUUUAAAUUCACGCUUGUGUUUGUGGAUCAGCCUCUUCCUUUCCUGUUCCUCCUUACUACUGCCUUGUUUUCUUCCAAACUCGAGGCUACAAUCAAAAAGCCACUGUUAAGGAAGCAAGAAUCUGUCCCCACCUCUCGGCCAGAGCCUGCUCGGGAGUGUGGCUUCGCUCCGUAGUCAUCUGCUCAACUGCAGAACUGGCAGACACCCCCCGUCAGCUCCCACUGAGCCCCCAGUCCCGGCCCCCUAGGGAGAUGCUGCCAACACCCACACUUUGACCAGCCGGGGCGUGAACAGCUUCAGUGGGACAGGCUUGCUCUUCUCACAGGUCAGUGGCCGGCAGAGCUGCUUCUGGCUUUCCAUUUCGGUCAGUGUGCUCUGACACAGCUCCUGAAAAACACACAAUCCCCGACGCUGCGAUGACUUGCCUGCUGCGACCUGAGCUCCACGCGCAGGUUCUGCGGCGUCCAGGCAGCUGAGGACAGUACUGUGAGCUCCCCGCAGCAGGAUGGUGCCCUUGCUGUGUGCCCACCGGUGGAGGGGAAGCCAAGGCUGUGGCUGCUCAAGGUCUGGCACAGCCAAAACAAAGUCAAGCCACUGUUUUCCUGAAGAGGGAGGGGCCCGUGUGCUGGCCCCGGAGAGCACUCUGAAAGGAGGGGACUUGGAGGUCAUGACAGUCUGUGCUCCUCACCGCCAGAAACGUCAACAUAACCCCUUUCCCAGACAAACUUGGCACGAAAGGCCAUGAGCCACCUGCUUCGUGAGAAGGGUCCCAGGAGAACCCCCUUCUGCCGCGGGGGGCCGCGUGCACGCUAGAACCCAGGCGUGCAGACUGAUGCUGGGUGCCAGGUGGGGCAGGGUUUCUACCAGUCUUGGCAGUUUGACCUUAUUUUCAAGCCAACAGAACCAACAGAUGGUUAAGGCCCACUUUCACCAAGACCUUGGCUUCCAGAAGAGUUGGCUGGUGGCUUCUGAGCAAUCUCCCGAAAGCCAGUUCACUGACGUUGGUCCUACCCACUUUCUCUUGCACAGUGUGUCCUGGAACCCUGGCUAACUGCACCCACAGACACAGCCACUCCUGGGCCCAUCUGGAUGUAACCUUCGAGUGCCUGAAUGCCACGUCUCCAUGGAGGCUAAACUCAAGGGCCUGACUGGCUCAGUCUACGAAGACCACAAGGCCUGUUGUGCCCCUCAGCCAGGCCAACCCAAAGAUUUUUAAAUGAAAGGCACAACCCAUGGCCACAUCAGCAGAAAGUGGGUACAGGAUAAGGGGCAGAACUAAUGUCUCCUAUUCCUCAGCCUUUGACUAGGCGAUGGGAGUCUGUGAUGGCUGGCUUGUCUGCUCUAUGCUCCAAGCACCUGGCCAGGGACGGGCCGAGUUGCUGUCCUCAUGGAACUCUCAUCCUAGUGGGGCAGAGACAAGGACGGUGUAACGUGCCUGGGGGUCCGCACCGCAGACAAGACACAGGGAGCAUGGCGCAGUGUGGGCCAGCGAAGGCCUGGCUUCCCAAGGGCAUGGGUGCAAGCAGCACGGCUGUGAAGAGUUCCAGAUGGUGUUGACUUAGAGCUGCAGCCUCAAAUGACCAAAUGCCACCAGCUUGGCCCCAGCUCGGCCCCAGCUCAGGGACAUGUCUGAGCCCAGGUAAAGCACCCGAGGGGCGAGGAAGCCUCACCUGGAGCUCCUGGGGGUGGCUGCAGUCCGCCAGGUGAUCUGUGAGGAGGGCUCGGAGAGGCCCCGUGAUGGCGUGGAAGGAUGGCAGGGACCCAUACAUGAGCACACAGCGCUUCAGCAGGGCCAGGCCCACAGCCAGGCAGGACAGUCUGUGAGGGCAGGAGGCAAGAAGAGGUCCAACUUGUUCUAUUUGUCACUGACAAAACCAGUAACAUGGCAAAAAUGAACUUCCCCACUUCCACUAGGCUGAAAAAUUCAAUGUGGUCACCUUAGCUGGCCAGGGUUGGGCCCAUACACCCACGGGCAAGGUAGGCUCAGUGUCAGGCCUAAUGCAGGAGGGAAGGCUGUGGGAAACGCAGCGCCAGCUGGGAUGGGGUGGCUCCAUUUUUGGCUCCAAGUUAUGAUUUGUGAAAUCAAACAAAUGUAUUUUGAAAAUGAAAAAAAAAGGGACACCAUGCCUCAGAAAGGCUUUCACCCUCCAUCAAGCCAAACAGCCGGGCAGCAAGUUCGCUAACAGCCCAUCAGAAAGCAUGAGUGGCUCCUCCUACCUCUGGGGACGCAUAGGGCACAGGCCCCAAAGCGGGGUCCCCUCACAUACCGGAUGUGAUUGGCCUCUGUUGAAGUGGGGGCCCUCAGUCCACUCGCCCAGCGGAGGGAGAGGCUGCUCUGCUGCCACGUGGCCACAUCCUCUCUAUCAGACACCACAAGCAGUUCCGAGUGCUUCCCAAGUGCUCUGAAAGGGUGCACCAGAGUGGAACCUGAAUUCCAAGUGCGACAGGACAGAGAUGGCCUGAACGUUACUGGGCUCCCAGCAGGCUCUGCAGCACCAAGCCUGUGGAAGUUCACUCUCUAACAGACACACACUGAUUUUUAUGUUUCUGGGUUGUGCCAGACACUGAGGGUUUCCGUGUGGGCAGGGACACCUCAGGGGAAGGGGGAAAGCUCUGGCAGGGGGUGCGGUGAGAGCCAAGUGCCUGAUCCUGCCUGGGAGGCCUGCUUGCAACAGACGUCCUGGGACCUACUAGGCACCACAUGGGGCUGAUGAGGCGCUCAGGCCACAUCCAGGAACAGACUGAAGUCCCUGCCCCUGUCGGGAGACAGGCAGCGAACAGCACCCCAAGGAGCAAAUGGACCAGACAGAACACGAGAAAGGAAAGCAGAGGGGCAGGGGGCAGACAGCAGGGUCAGUCGGGUGACGGUGCAGGGCGGGAGAGGCCUGAGGGGGCAGAUGUCAGCAAAGGCCUGUAGGACACGAAGGAGUCAAUCCACAGAGAAGGGCAAUCCAGGCUGAGGGCGUGGCUGCAGGGGGAGGGAUGGAGACAGGCACAGUGGGGCGGAGGUGCCAGGCCAAGAGAGAGGGGAAGGUGGUGGGUCAAGCCCCGUCCCACUCCCCCAAAGCCGAGAUGCACGCCCCCUCCCUGACUCCACCCGUGCCCAGCCUGUUCCUUCACAGCCCUUCACACGCGGGACUGCAGCAAUCUGCAGGUGGCUCUCCCUGAGGCAGGGAGCAUGUGGGCGACCGCGCCUCUCUGGCACCCGGCACCAAGCCUGACAGACAGGAGCCUCGGGAGCCAGGGGGUGGCAGAAUGGGAGCACUGAACCGGAGGAAUGGCCAAAUCCCUCUUGGAAGGGACUCUGCUGGCAGUGUGAAUGAUGCCAGAGCACCUGCUCCUCAGGUCAGUCCCCUCGACAUGCAGGCGCUUGGCACUGCACGGUGAACUGGAAAUAGAGGGCGGGGGUCUUAGCCUUGAGGUCCAACCUCUGGUCAGGCUGGGAGAGGCAUCCACAGACAUGGAAGAGUUCAGGACAGAGGCUGCACAGCUCUUCGCCCCCCCAAAGGGAAGCAGCAAGUGCUGAGGAAGCAUCCGGGAGCAGAGUUGGCAUCAGGGGAAGGGGGAGGAGCACAGGGGCUGGGGUGAGGGCCCAGGAGGGCAGGCAGUGGGCAGACUGCUCCUCAUCCCAGCGCUGCUCUUGCCACCCUCCCUCCCGAGUUCAGAGCGUUACAGAAGCAACACAGCAGCGAUGCCUGUGUGAGCCACACGAGAACUUUCACACUGCCUUGUUGUCAUGUGAGGAAAAAGUAAAAAGGUAAAAUUGAUUUUAACAAUAGAUCUUAUCUAACCCCAAAUACCAAAAUAUUGUGAUUUUAACACAUAAUACAAAAAAUUAAGAUA